GAGUUUGAUCCUGGCUCAGAUUGAACGCUGGCGGCAUGCCUUACACAUGCAAGUCGAACGGCAGCACGGGAGCUUGCUCCUGGUGGCGAGUGGCGAACGGGUGAGUAAUGCAUCGGAACGUAUCCUGGAGUGGGGGAUAACGUAGCGAAAGUUACGCUAAUACCGCAUAUUCUGUGAGCAGGAAAGCGGGGGACCUUCGGGCCUCGCGCUCUUGGAGCGGCCGAUGUCGGAUUAGCUAGUUGGUGAGGUAAAGGCUCACCAAGGCGACGAUCCGUAGCAGGUCUGAGAGGAUGAUCUGCCACACUGGAACUGAGACACGGUCCAGACUCCUACGGGAGGCAGCAGUGGGAAUUUGGACAAUGGGGGCAACCCUGAUCCAGCCAUGCCGCGUGAGUGAAGAAGGCCU
rnacentral:rRNA from 1 species